AGCGAACGCUGGCGGCAGGCCUAACACAUGCAAGUCGAACGAACUCUUCGGAGUUAGUGGCGGACGGGUGAGUAACACGUGGGAACGUGCCUUUUGGUUCGGAAUAACUCAGGGAAACUUGUGCUAAUACCGAAUGUGCCCUUCGGGGGAAAGAUUUAUCGCCAUUAGAGCGGCCCGCGUCUGAUUAGCUAGUUGGUGAGGUAACGGCUCACCAAGGCGACGAUCAGUAGCUGGUCUGAGAGGAUGACCAGCCACACUGGGACUGAGACACGGCCCAGACUCCUACGGGAGGCAGCAGGGGGGAUUCUUGCGCAAGGGGCGAAAGCCGGACGCAGCCAUGCCGGGUGAAUGAUGAAGGUCUUAGGAUUGUAAAUUUCUUUCCCGGGGGACGAUAAUGAGGGUCCCCGGAAAAGAAGCCCCGGCAAACUUCGUG
rnacentral:rRNA from 1 species